rnacentral:rRNA from 1 species
CUUUUCUUGAAUUUUAAUAUGAGAUAUGACCUGCCCACUGAUAGAUUUGAAGGGCCGCGGUAUUUUGACCGUGCAAAGGUAGCAUAAUCAUUAGUCUUUUAAUUGUGGACUGGAAUGAAUGGUUGGACGAGGAAUAUACUGUUUCUUAUUAUUUUAUUGAAUUUAAUUUUUAAGUUAAAAAGCUUAAAUUUAUUUAUAGGACGAGAAGACCCUAUAGAGUUUAUAUACAUUAUUCUAUUUAUUUUGUUUGUUUAUUUUAUUUAGUAUUUAAUAUAUUUUAUUGGGGUGAUUGGAAGAAUUAAUUAACUCUUUUUGUUUAAAUAUACAUUGAUUUAUGAAUACUUGAUCCAAUUUUGUUGAUUAUAAGAUUAAA